AUUGAACGCUGGCGGCAUGCCUUACACAUGCAAGUCGAACGGUAACGCGCCUUCGGGUGCCGACGAGUGGCGAACGGGUGAGUAAUACAUCGGAACGUGCCCGAUCGUGGGGGAUAACGAGGCGAAAGCUUUGCUAAUACCGCAUACGAUCUACGGAUGAAAGCAGGGGACCGCAAGGCCUUGCGCGGACGGAGCGGCCGAUGGCAGAUUAGGUAGUUGGUGGGAUAAAAGCUUACCAAGCCGACGAUCUGUAGCUGGUCUGAGAGGAUGAUCAGCCACACUGGGACUGAGACACGGUCCAGACUCCUACGGGAGGCAGCAGUGGGGAAUUUUGGACAAUGGGCGCAAGCCUGAUCCAGCCAUGCCGCGUGCAGGAUGAAGGCCUUCGGGUUGUAAACUGCUUUUGUACGGAACGAAAAGCCUUCUUUUAAUACAGGAGGGUCAUGACGGUACCGUAAGAAUAAGCACCGGCUAACUACGUG
rnacentral:rRNA from 1 species